CAGCAGCCGCGGUAAUACAGAGGGUGCGAGCGUUAAUCGGAUUUACUGGGCGUAAAGCGUGCGUAGGCGGCUUUUUAAGUCGGAUGUGAAAUCCCUGAGCUAAACUUAGGAAUUGCAUUCGAUACUGGGAAGCUAGAGUAUGGGAGAGGAUGGUAGAAUUCCAGGUGUAGCGGUGAAAUGCGUAGAGAUCUGGAGGAAUACCGAUGGCGAAGGCAGCCAUCUGGCCUAAUACUGACGCUGAGGUACGAAAGCAUGGGGAGCAAACAGGAUUAGAUACCCCUGUAGUCCCUGUCUCUUAUAC
rnacentral:rRNA from 1 species